GGUGCUGUGGCUCAGCUGGUUAAAGCACCUGUCUUAAUAACAGGUGAUCCUGGGUUCAAAUCCCAGCAGUGCCU